AAAUUGAAGAGUUUGAUCAUGGCUCAGAUUGAACGCUGGCGGCAGGCCUAACACAUGCAAGUCGAGCGGUAGCACAGAGAGCUUGCUCUCGGGUGACGAGCGGCGGACGGGUGAGUAAUGUCUGGGAAACUGCCUGAUGGAGGGGGAUAACUACUGGAAACGGUAGCUAAUACCGCAUAACGUCGCAAGACCAAAGUGGGGGACCUUCGGGCCUCAUGCCAUCAGAUGUGCCCAGAUGGGAUUAGCUGGUAGGUGGGGUAACGGCUCACCUAGGCGACGAUCCCUAGCUGGUCUGAGAGGAUGACCAGCCACACUGGAACUGAGACACGGUCCAGACUCCUACGGGAGGCAGCAGUGGGGAAUAUUGCACAAUGGGCGCAAGCCUGAUGCAGCCAUGCCGCGUGUGUGAAGAAGGCCUUCGGGUUGUAAAGCACUUUCAGCGGGGAGGAAGGCGGUGAGGUUAAUAACCUCACCGAUUGACGUUACCCGCAGAAGAAGCACCGGCUAACUCCGUGCCAGCAGCCGCGGUAAUACGGAGGGUGCAAGCGUUAAUCGGAAUUACUGGGCGUAAAGCGCACGCAGGCGGUCUGUCAAGUCGGAUGUGAAAUCCCCGGGCUCAACCUGGGAACUGCAUUCGAAACUGGCAGGCUAGAGUCUUGUAGAGGGGGGUAGAAUUCCAGGUGUAGCGGUGAAAUGCGUAGAGAUCUGGAGGAAUACCGGUGGCGAAGGCGGCCCCCUGGACAAAGACUGACGCUCAGGUGCGAAAGCGUGGGGAGCAAACAGGAUUAGAUACCCUGGUAGUCCACGCUGUAAACGAUGUCGAUUUGGAGGUUGUGCCCUUGAGGCGUGGCUUCCGGAGCUAACGCGUUAAAUCGACCGCCUGGGGAGUACGGCCGCAAGGUUAAAACUCAAAUGAAUUGACGGGGGCCCGCACAAGCGGUGGAGCAUGUGGUUUAAUUCGAUGCAACGCGAAGAACCUUACCUGGUCUUGACAUCCACAGAACUUUCCAGAGAUGGAUUGGUGCCUUCGGGAACUGUGAGACAGGUGCUGCAUGGCUGUCGUCAGCUCGUGUUGUGAAAUGUUGGGUUAAGUCCCGCAACGAGCGCAACCCUUAUCCUUUGUUGCCAGCGGUUCGGCCGGGAACUCAAAGGAGACUGCCAGUGAUAAACUGGAGGAAGAUGGGGAUGACGUCAAGUCAUCAUGGCCCUUACGACCAGGGCUACACACGUGCUACAAUGGCAUAUACAAAGAGAAGCGACCUCGCGAGAGCAAGCGGACCUCAUAAAGUAUGUCGUAGUCCGGAUUGGAGUCUGCAACUCGACUCCAUGAAGUCGGAAUCGCUAGUAAUCGUAGAUCAGAAUGCUACGGUGAAUACGUUCCCGGGCCUUGUACACACCGCCCGUCACACCAUGGGAGUGGGUUGCAAAAGAAGUAGGUAGCUUAACCUUCGGGAGGGCGCUUACCACUUUGUGAUUCAUGACUGGGGUGAAGUCGUAACAAGGUAACCGUAGGGGAACCUGCGGUUGGAUCACCUCCUUACCUUAAAGAA
rnacentral:rRNA from 1 species